GGAAGUCAAUCUGCCUAUUAUAAAAUACCAGUGAAUUAAAAAACCUACCCAAGAGAAUAUUUGAAAAACAUAUUGUUCUUUCAUUGUUUUUUUUUUUUUUUUUGGAAAUGUCACUCAGAAUCACAAUUGUUUUUCUAUUGGGGUUUCUUCUAAAUGUGAUCUAUUUCUUACAUUAUUGUAACUAUCCCUUUCCACAGAUUUUACAGUAUUUGUUUCAGUUUGCAAAGCAUCGACUAUCAUGCUUUUUCACUUAAAAAGCUGUUCAUAUCAAGGAAAUGAAAAUUAUCUCCAUAUUUUUACUGAAAAUAGACAUGUCUUGGGAGUGAUAUUCACACAAAUUGUGUAUGGUUGAAUGAAACUACAGCACAUAAAAGAAAUUAACUGGCUCAUUUAAAAGGAAAAAUCUCCUUGUUCACUGCAGAAUCCACUUCAUCCUAUGAUCUAAGAGGGGGAAAUCCUUUAAAAAUUAUUCCAAGAAGUGGGAAUACAUGUAGUUAAAAGCAUGCAUAUCUUUUCCAGAAGAGCAAUAAACCGGUCUACAGAAACAAUCUGAGUCCUCCAAAACUGCUGAAGUUAAUAUAGUCUAGAAUGACCAGAUGGAUAAAUGUUAGUUUUUUUUCUUUUUAAACUUUAGAUGAGUAACGUUCUCCAGUAAAAACAGAGAUUUCUUUAGAAUUCAGACUCUUUUGGAGUGUGGAUAUAGAGAUCCCUCAGAAAUAACCUCCCCAAAAGUACACAGUCCAAGCUGGGGGUUUGUCGUGCUACUGAUACCCUCAUCUCAUCUUCCCAAUUUCCUGCCAAAAUAUCCCUUGCCAUGACUCACAGCACACCAUCCCUGUUGUGGGAAUUUUGUAGAGGAGCUUUAAUGCAAGUUGGUGAGAGCAAGAGCAAAAUUAUUGGAGUUGUGUUUACCUCUUCUGAGCUGCCACAUCAGCUUGUCCACUGUCUGUGGGCUGAGGAGGACCUGCAGUGUGACUACCACUCAUGGACAACCCAAGGUGAUUGGGAAGCUGGCACUGAAAACAUACUUUUUGCUCUCAGUGGCCUUUGGUUCAGGCUUUGCUGGCACACAGGAGUCCUCCAAGCCCUUGGGCACUGGGAAAUCUGUGCACCUGCUUCUGACCUUCACCUCUGCUCAUCUUGCACUGUGUAUCACCCUCUUCAGAAAGGAUCAGGCCUUCUGCCUCACUUGUGCUGGACAUAUUGGGAGAAGAUGCCUAACGGCAGGUGGGGAAGCCCAGGAUUCCUAUGUAGGGAUAUACUGACAAGAAAUCAAAGGCUAAGAACCCCACCACAUUUAGAUUGGUGCCAGUCUGUCCUGGAACAACUUGCUGCUUUCAGCCUCUGCAUGUGUGGUGGCAAUAGGGGUUAUACAGAUGAAAUUAUAUUUCCACACCUGCCAGAUCCAUGUCUGACUGUGGUGUUGGAAGACAGGGCCGCCCAGGUAUCCUGCAGGAGGAGAGAGCUAGAAAUGACAUCCCCUUGCCUCCUUUCCCCUGGGCCACAGAUGGACCCAUGGAGAUGCUCCAAAAUGGCCACAAGGCUUUAGCUGGGUGGACAGGCCCUGGGGCGCAGUGAGGCCAAGACAGAUGAGGGCACAAGGAAGGGGCACACGUCCUCCAGCGGGGCGGCCUCCAUAAGCCAGGAUUUACACAAGCCAACCUAUGCUUGGCUUUUUUUUUUUCCCAUGGAGUUGCUGAAGUCCCUUUGGAAUAUUAAGAGCCACAUCAUGGUGCUAUACAUAUUAAUGUGCGAGGGUUUUUUUCCUAUUGUCUGUACCUUUCAGUCUAAGUCUGAAUGACAGCCUUAUCUAUGAUAUCCAAACCUUAGGAUGGUCUGAUUUUAGAUAAUCCACUCUUCUUCAUUGUUCUUGUUAUUUUUAUUUUUAUGCAUUACAACAGAUCCAGUUUUAGUGAGUUUCAUGUUAGACCAUGUAUAACAUGGUCUAUAUAUAACAAGCCAUUAUAUAACCUGUUAUAUUGGCUAUUUAUAUUUCAUAGGUGCAAAAGUCAGAAUGUAUUUGAUUGGUGCAAAAGCCAGAAAUGAUAUUUCAGAUAGAUUGAUUUGUCAAAACGGAAAAGAUCUAAGGAUUUAAUUUGAGUUUUUACUGUCUCUCAUUUUAACCUGAAGUCCAUAAGCUAGUUAACAUUUCUUUUUGCGUAAAAUAUUAUGCCAAUGAACUGUAUGAAAACAGUCUCUUUUGUGCAUAUUUUCUUUUUGUUUUCAUAUAACCUCACUGUGCAAAUCUUUUUCAUUCAUCUAUAGAGGGUCUACUGCCAAAGUAGUUUUCUUACUUGAUAGUCAAAUCAAAUAAAUAAGACCAAACCCAUAUGUAAGAGAAAAACAUUCCUGCCAAUUUUUUCCUCUUCCCUAGUAGCCAUGUUUGUAGCCAUAUUUACUUUAAGUAGCCUUGGGCAAAAAGUUAUGUGCCUCAUUAAUCUAAAUCAACCUUGCAGGAUUUUAUGGCAACUGUUGUUGCUGUUGCCACAUUAUGUAUGCUUUUUCCUUUUGUUCUUCAAUAUAGUGCUUAUGAAGCUAAGGAACAAUUGUCACUUCCUAUUAUGUGAACUAAAUGUACAAGAAUUGAUGGGGCUUUCUACCUAAUGUUGUUAGCCUGAACCUGGUUUGUUUAUUUAAUGAACAAAAUGUCACAGUGUAUCUGCAUCCUCCUGACAUCUGAAACAGUGGCAGCUGCUGGUGGCAGAUUUCCUGAAACUGGGGUGCAGAAUUAACCAAUUCAAUUUGCAUGUUUUCCAAAAAAGGAGGGAGGAGGGAAAAAAAAGAGGGAGCGGGAGAGACGAGACUCUCUUUGAAAACAUUCUUUAAAAAAGCUCGUAUUUUGUGCACAGAUGUCUCGAGUACCAUUGUGUUGCAGGGGGCAGGGAGGAGCCAGCCUAAUCCUGACACAUAACCUACUCCAGCACCAGUAGAUUUAGAGCAGUUCAUUGAGAUUCAGGGUUUAAGCAUGAUUCCAUUACCAGAUAGGUGCUGGGGUGGUAAAUAAAAACUAGUGGCUUCCAGAGCAUUUUAAAAACUGGGAGUCGGUCUCAUCUCCCUCCUUACAAAGGGCUUUUUUGAAGAAGAAAUACUGAUUCUGUGAUUAUAUGACUCUCUGAUUUUGCAGCCGCGCCACCUAAAGAAGAGAUGCACUCUCUCCCUUCCCUAAGUUAGACUUUAUAGGCAUAAAUAAAUGGUGCUAAUGAACUCUUUUAGAAAGCGACAAAAUCAGUAGGACUUACUGAAGACAUUCACGCUCCACGAUUGCUAAUCCCAAUAAUAAUUGCUAGAUCACAGCGCCCAGAAGCUGCAGUUGCAUUUGUAGUUAGGAUGGUUGGCUGCGGGUGAUGUUUACUGGGCACAGGGCGUCCUCGAACAAAGGUGAACCCUCCCUGAGAUCCAUUGAGCUUUAGUGCUCAGCAGGAACACGAUGCCGAGGCCCCGCGGGCUGUGGCUGAAUGACAAGCACGGGCUGGUGCUGGGUCCUGGUACAGGGUGCUGUGUGCAGUCCCCAGUGCAGCCAAUGCCACAACCACGCUUCAUAUGCAAAGAGAGGAAAACACAAUCUUUGUGUAUAUUACAUGACAGUGCAGGGAUCUGAACUACGCGGUAAAAGGCCCGGUUAUGAGUAUGUCUGGCAAUUAAAAAUAAUUGGGAAGCAGGUUUGCCACUAACUCUUCCAAGAAUGCCAGUUAUGAUAUAAUGAUGUUUCAUUAGACAUGCUGAAAGCUGUGAGCUCCGUAUGGCAAUGGCAAUUAGGAAGGAUCAUAAAGAAAAAAAAAGAAGAAGAAGAAGAAACAUUAAAAAUAUCCCAGCUAAGAUUAGCAUAGCAUUUAAUGGCCACUUCAUUAGCUAAUUGAUUUCUUAUUAGUUACAGGGAAAAGCCCAGUUAGGGGCUCUGCACAGCUAAUUAACAGCAUUUACACAAUUAGUCGGUUGCUCAUUUUGUAACCAAACAUUCUUGGAAUCAACUGCGGCUGUGAUGCUCUGGGCCAUUUGAUUAAUUUUAUUUUAUUUUUUGCUAAUAUUGGCUUAACCUUCAAAUAAAAAAUUCACUCCCCGGGGCCCCACCAUAUUUAAUCACAACAUUAUACAAACAGAAAAAGGCUACGUCACACCAUCUCAGGACAUGAAUCGGUUCCUCUUUCUUUUAUUUGCGAGUUGUUUUAUUGGCCCCAUGAAGUCAAUAGUAUUCAAUAAGCAGAAUCGUCUGUCUUCUCCCCUGACAGCUGAGUUUUUGCCCAUCAAACAUUAUUAUUAUUUUGCAAUUGGCAGAUGGAACAAUGUAGGUUUGACCACAACAUAUUUUUUUGCUUAUGUAUUGGGAGAAGUAUGCAGGAGGUCUGGAUGAGAUAUUUAUUUCUAAUGCAGUCGCUUCCUACUGCAAAAGAAAUGCCUUCAGUAGAAAACUUGCCAUUUAACAAAACGCGUGUUUUAGCAUUGGCUUGUAUCUGGAAUUAAGGGUGAGUGGGGAAAAUUGCAUGAUUUUAUAAAGGUCAGGAAGGAACAGACUGGAUUUAUGUGGCACUUUGUUAGCAACUCCGAGAAAAUUGAUGAUCAAGAGCAUAAUAAAUAACAAUAACAGCAUUUAAUAAAACAAACAAAAAGAAACUUGUCUGUUCAUUUCCAGUUGAUGGCGGCACUCCAUAAUCGCAUAGCACCCAAUUAUUAUUCUGGCAAGAAACGAUGUCCCUUUUGCUCCCCAGACUCUCAUACACCAAAAAGAGCCAAACUCUGAUCUCACUGCGGGCAGUAAUGAUUUCCCCCCGAUGCAGCGGCUCUCAUGUCAGACGGGAGCCGCUUAGCAUUGAUGCAGAUAGGCUGUUAGCGCUGAGGGGCAGCGCUGCAUAUGUGAGCAGAAGGUCAACGUUUUCACUUGCCAGUUUUCAUUGGCACACUGGGAUUCUGUAUUAAAUUAUCAUAAGCUAAUUAAAUAAAACCACAAUCUCGUGAUGAUCGAUCAGGUCAGAGAUUAUGCCAAGUCGUCAAUAUAUUAAUUAUUGAACUUUGUUUUUCUUUCAUUUUGCUCCUCCUAUUUUUUUUCCUCCUUAAUGUUUCCUCGCAAUAAGUGCAAAAUGGGAAAUGAUUUUAAUUUACCAUUGCUGUUUUAAUUGUGGCUAAUGGAAAAAUGCUGUCUCAGACAAACAUAAUGGUAAUUAUUCCACUUCAACCUCCUUUUUUUUUUUUUUUUUUUUUUUAAUUGAGAAUUUAUUCCAUAAGUGUGUUUGCAAACAGUGAAACAUAAUGUAUGGUCAUUUCAGUGCUGUAUUUUUUUUUACUGUAUUCAUAGACAGUAUGUUUUCCUUCCUCCUACACUUAUUUCUUCUGUUGAUAAUGCAUGUCUGGCUUAGUUGAUUCAAAGGAUUAUGAGUAUCAAGAAAACCUCCAAAUUACCUCAGUUUAAAGUGACAUAUUGGCAAUUUGGGACUUUAUUUUAUUUCUUCUGUCAAGAAAACCUAACAUAUCUGGAAGCACUUUCUAAAUUCUAAGCAACAUCUAUAAUGUUCGCACUGGGCUUCUUUCUGCCUCUAUUAAAAGCAGCAGAAAAACAAAGCAAAACAAAACAGUGCACUCAGAUUUAUGAGGUUUCACCAGAUUGCAGAUUACUGAAUCAGAGAAAAAGAGGCGCAUAGGUGUCUGUGAGGGUUUGAUCCCAAACUGUACACAGUCAGUGUGUUGAGGGGAAAGGAAGAACAGGGCACUGUCUGUCCAGACUCCAGCCCUUAUUCUUCAUCCUCUGCUGGAGAUGGGUUUCUACUGGGUUCAUUUGGUUGCUACACAGUGCCAGUUUCCCCAGAUGAUGUCUAUUUUUAAUUGCUUUUCCUUUGCAGGCAUAAACGCAACCCACUUUACUCCUCCUUUCUACUUCAGUCUGUGAAUGGUCCAAUGUGUUGUCUCAAGGUCUACCAGUUAGAAAGAAAGACAAAACAAAACCAAUUUCUGACAUCCUUCUCCACCACCAGGAUAUACACCCUACAGAGUGCUUCCUGCUCUCUUCCAGCUGCAGUGCAACACCUGAAUGAUGAGACUAUUUUGUAAAUACAUGGGAAAUUCAUUGCUCCUCUUCUAGACUUUUCCUGAAAUAUAUUUUCUCUGCAUGUGAUGGUUUACGAACCAGUCUCUCCCAUGGUGUCUGCCAGGCUUUGUUCUUCCAGCCACCAGCCCUCCCCUGGCACUGUUAGUACAGUGGAAUCAGCUUUUCAGAAUUUUAGUCUCAUGCAGGAAAUUGUGAGCUAUGUCACCCAACUGUUUCUUGGUUCAUUGGUUUUCUAGCUUUGAAAUUCUCAGUCCCUUGGAAAUAAAUACAUUUUUUCAGCCAGUCAAAAAAAUAUGUAUAUCUGUAAAAUUCUUGUAUGUCCACCUAACUUCCCCCCACCUUUUAUUAUCCAAACGCUUGCCUCAUUUUCCAGGUGCAUUUCUGUUAUCUGGACUGAUUCUUUCAUCUUGAGGGGCCAUGACUAUGGGAAAACACAGAAACAGAGAAUGAACAGAGGUCUCUUGACUGGUGCUCCUCAAGUACCGUGCAGCUCAGCCCCAUUGCCCACGUGCAGAGCUGGCAGUGGGCUUUGGUAUUAUGAAGUAAAGUACUGUUUGUACUAUGUGAGUAGUACAAACAGUAAGGAAUGUGGCAAUCUUAGGGCACAACAGAGAAUCUGGAAAAUUGAAAUUAUAUUUUGGCUCUGUUCUAUAAAGUUUAAUAAAUCCUGUGCCUUCCCGCUGCCUCAGUUUCUCCAUCUUUGAGUGGUUAUGUUAAAACCCUGAGUAGAUCACCUUGAAAAAAGAGGCAGCUGUUACAGCAUCACUGCUGGUUUCCAUGUGAGGGGCUUUGAGCCCUGUUAGCCAUAGGUGCUCUGGCUUUAAUGCUGGGGUCUGGGGGUUGGCUUUGGCUCUGCAACUGUGCUGAGUAAGGGUGGCACAGAGAAUGGUCCUGUUGGAAGAAAGAAUGAGCAACUCUGCAGACCCCACUGUGACUGUCAGACAAGGGGAACUGGUAUCCAUCCCAAGAAUUAGUGACAGGACAGCACUAAUAAAGAACAUGAAAGACCAACAUCCCAAUUGCAGGAUAAAACAGUAGAUGGACAAGAUAUGCAGAAACUAUUUCUGGACCACAUAAAAUAUACAGAUUCAACAAAUGAUGCAUUAAAACUGACAGCACAAAUAUAUGCUGACUUCCCUUCCAAUGCCUCUCUUACCAAACUGUCUCUCCCUGUAAUACUUUCCUUCACUCUACUGAUAUAAUCGAUGUAUAAAAAAAUAACAAAACAGAAAAGGAAAAAAGAAUAGGGGAUUCAACUCUUCUUAGCAGAAAAGUCAGUAGUGACCAGCAGUGCCAAGCAAUUCUCAGAGCAAUGUAAAAUUGGUGGUAUGGGAGGAUGCUGAGCAGAUAAAUAGCAGAAAGAAAACAAAUAAAACAGGAAGAAUGAUCUUUAGGUAUGGACUGACAGUUGUGUAGGUGAACAGACAGGCAGGAAAACUCACUGUAUAAUAAGAAAGGUCUUGGGCUUGCUCUGCUCCAUACAUAUCUACCAAAAAAAGCCUGCAAAAGCAGUGGAAUUUCAACAAUUUCUCUUUAACAUGAUGGAUCACAAAGCUUAUGGGACACACAUAAACCCUCCCAUACAUUUUAGGGGAGCUUGAACUAGAGGGCAAUCUGGUAGGUUUGGCAGCACCUGGUUUGGGAGAGCAUUCCUGCACAUCAUGCUACCAGGGAUCCCUGGCUGGGGAACUAGGGACCUUGCAAGUGAACAGACACAUAAAGAGCAUGCUUGGGAAGGGAUAAGCCUGUGUAUUUGAAUAGUACAAACAUGUAGGUAAUGUUCUCUCUUCUGUGUUCUCUCUUCAUGUAGGUAAUGCUCUCUCUUCUGCUCUGUGGGUCCUACAAUAAGAAGGCUUGUGUCCAGAGGUCCUAGCUAAGCCCUGCUUGCCCUCCACACUUCCAUCUUAAUGGCAUCAAUUCUCAGUGGUUAGGACAUUAAGUCCUGGCCUUACUCUCUUAUGAAAAUGGAGGUUGUAAAGCCUCACUUUUUCAAAAAAGAGACAGAUUUCAAGAAAGGCCCAAACUGGAUUGGUUGGAUGUCAUUCAGGGAGAGUUUGCAGCUCUCACCUUUCAGCCCUACUGCCUGUGCCAUGUCUGCCACUAUUGAUCCAGGGCUCUGUGGUGUCCCACCAGCUGGAAACAGCUCCAUAGGUCAUGAGUGGAUGAAAGAUACGCCCAAGGCUAGCUGUUGGGGAGGCAAACAGAACUGCCAGAACUUCAAGGGAAUAUUUGCCUCUCUUGUGGUAAGGAGAGGAAAGGCAGGCUAGCCAGUCUCAGAAGUAAUUGCAUUACAUGGAAACUAGUUUUCUGAUGUACAGGCUGCUUAAAGUACUCUGAGAGGUAUUAAACUAAACAACAGUGAGCUUAUUGGUGAAGGAGAGAGAAAGCAGAAAAAUCAAGAUACCCAGAACAAAAUUAAUCAAGGUGCCAGGGACCUGAAGAAAAAUCUCUAAUUGUCUUCAAGGACUGCCAGGUGCCCAGUAAUAAGCAAAAAGAAAUGGAUUUGCUCAGUGAUGAGAAUACACACACUUCCACUGGGUAUUAUAAGACACUGGAAGAAAAAUUGGCUGAGCUGAUCUCAGAACUAGAUAUGAGAGAUUGUUUUGACUCAGAUUGACUGCAUUCAUUCAUAGAAAGCACAUAAAGUUCACAACAGUACGACAUUUACUUAAAGUUUCUAGGAGUCCAAUUUUACUAUGUUGGAAUAAUGAAGACAUAACUCAGCUUAGAAGAGAUAAAGCGGCAAAAUAUGAAAGACUGAAUUAUUUUAUGUUUGUAAGUUAUCCAAGAGCGACAAGCUUUAAGUCAAGAAGGAAAGCUUAAAAACAACUUGUUUUUUAAUGGGAAGAGAAAUAUGCAUAACAAUUAAAAUCUGGUAUAUAAUACAAGGAAAAAAGAAAUGUGGAUAAUAGUGAGGAUAAAUUAUGAAAUAUAGAAAACUGCUGAGGGUAGAAAAAAGAUACAAAGGGAAAGAUACAGCCAGGGAAAUUUAAGACAGUAGGAGGAAAGGAAAUCCCAGUAAAAGUGUUCUGUAAUUAGACGUGUUAGAACUGCCAUUAAGAAUCUGAAAUAUUCAAUAAACCUUUCUGCACCAUGGAGGAAACAAGAAAGAGGAAGCCGAUAGGGUAUUAAAGUUAUGUAAUAAUGGUAAAAUACAAGGACUGCUCCAAAAGUAAUGCCUCCUAUUUUAUGAUGUUUGCCCACGACAUCUGAGGCAGACUUUGGUGAUGUGGCUCUUGAGGUUGAACAUUCCUGCCAAUAUUCCAUUACAUGUUAUUGCUUUGUGACAGGUGGCAGCAGAAGAGAAAUCUGACAAUUUGGUGUCUGAUGAGGAAGUGUAGAUGAAACAAAGAUGUGUCAAUGAAUUCCUCCACGUGGAACAAAUGGCACCCAUUGACAUUCAUCCACAUUUGCUGAAUGAUAUGGAGAUCAAACUGUGGAUAUGAACACAGUGAAGCAGUGGGUGGCGUGUUUCAGCAGUGGUGACAGGGAUGUGAAAAACAAGCUGCAUUCUGGACAGCCAUGCAGAUUUUUACAAGCAUGGUAUGCAGUGUCUUGUUCAUCACUGGUGAAAAUGCAUAGUUAAUGGUGGUCACUAUGUUGAAAACUAGUGUUUUAUCACUGAGAAUUUUUUCUAACCAAUAGUGCUGUUGUGCUCUUUGUAUCUGUUGUAAUUUCCAUGGAAAUAGAUAGGAAACAUUACUUUUGUAGCAACCUAUAUAUAUUCCCAUUCCACAGUAACUAAAGACUGUCUUAAAUUACAGGUACUGAAACAGGGCCUUUUCAAAUUAUCCUGUCUGAGAGGUUCAGCCUCUGAACUGAAGAGCUUUUUGAUUCAUUAAUGUAGUUUCAGUAAAUCCCGGGGAACAAAAAGACUUCCUCAAAAAGCAGAUGCGCCCGUAUUUAGAAAAAGUUGAAGAGAUGCCUAAGUCAGCGGAUAGCAUUCUGUGAAAAACAACAGAAGAGCAGAGAUAGGAACAGAUUAAUAGCAAUUUAAAGGAAAGAAAUAUCACUAAUAAUUAUUUGUAUGAGAUAAUCUUGUUGGACUAGCUCAGAAUAAAUUUAAUGUGAUCACAGCUUUGGUUGAAGUAAGUAGAAGUAUUUGCAAUGUAAUAAAUACCAAUAUUAUUGUAUAUGGGACCACACAUCUUGAAUAACAAAGCAGAAUGUUAUAAAAUCAAUGUCACCCAUUAAAAAGACUGAGAUUGUGUUCAACAGUCUGUUCAAAUCUAGUUAUAGAUAGGGAGUCCCCAUCAAGAAGGUCAAAGAAUGACUUUUUCUCCUGUUUGUAUUGUAGUAAUAACUUAAGAGGCCAGGAUGGAGUUCUUCACAAGUGGGGAGAUUUGGAGAUAGUCACUGACACAGAGAGAUAACAUUGGACAUUGUCAAAUAAGUUUUUAGUGUGGCUGAAUGCAAAAUGCCCAGUCUGUAGGUCAGACCUCCAGCGUGGCUCUGUUUGUGGAAGGAGAAAAUUUGGGAAACAAGUAUUGUUGUCAGGAUGAAAAUCUGACAACAAUCUGAGCAUGAGAAUGGCCAGAGUUCAGCCUCUGUCUGUAUUUAAAAUAAAAUAAAAUAAAAUAAAAUAAAAUAAAAUAAAAAUAGAGGGAGAUGGAAUAUUUACAUGGUGGUUGGUACUGGUGCCUCAGUCUCUUGGGUCCCAUGCUGAGAUCUGGUGCCAAAACUUCGGGAAGGUUAUAAAAAAAAUUGUGUGAGUUCAGAGAGGAGCUCUGAGAAUAAUUAAAGGAUAACUAAUAGGAAAAGAUUUAAGUAACUUCUAAGAGAGAAGGUUAACAGUGAACUGAUUAUAGCCCAUAAGUACCUCCACAAGGAAAAGAUUUAGGUAAUUCAGGGUUUUUCAGUCUGCUAGACAAAGGUGCAGUGACUAAUAAGACCAAUGGCUGGAAAAGGCACUGAGGCAAAUUCAGACCAAAAAAGAAGGUGCGUGUUCUUAACAGUAAGGAUAAUUAAUCAUUUGGAAUGAUUUACACGGAAUUGGGCUGGAUUCUCCAUUACUGUAAAUUUUUAAAUCAAAAUGAAAUUCUUUUUUUUAAAGAGCCAUUCUGCUGCAAGCACGGCUUUUAAUCUUAAGGCAUGAAUUAAUAUAGGGAACUUGUAGGGGUUUGGUUGUUCAGAAAGUUGUGAUAAAAUUGCAGCAAUCCUUUCUGGCUCUAAAAUUGGCCGGUUCAGGAAUCUAUAUCAAUAAGGGGUUUAUAUGUUUCUUUGUUUAACACUUUGAGGGAUUCAUUUUGUUUUUCUGAUGAAAUCUGGCUUCUUACAUAUUCAUGGGAUUCCAGGUGUCGGGACUUUAAGAGCCACAGUGCAACAAAGGCAAAUAGAUGUAUUUUUAAAAGCAGAAAAAGUCACGAUCAGUCAUUGGAUGAAAUUCAGUUUUAAAGAUGCAGCUAUCCAGGGAUGAAGCACUUGUUACAGCCUUUCAUUUUACAAUUUUAUUAGUUCAAGCCCCUUAGGAAUGAAUAUUCCUCAUUGGCCUAAUAAAAAUUCAUAGCAACAAAGUUAAUAAAAUGUCUCAUCACCUGACAAAUCUGGUGAGGAGUAUUUUAAAAAAUCUAUUUUACAAAAUAAUCCCCCAAGGCCUUGCAGCAUAGUCAAAGAGUUAAUUUUAAAUACUCAGAGGUGGUGACCUGUCUCUUGGUCACCCUGUGUGCCAAAGAAGACCCAUCAGCCUUCAAAAGCAAGUCAGGAAAAAGCUGGGAAAAUGAUUGUUGAUAAAUGAAAUGACAAAAGGAACAGUGCUCUGUGAUUCAGAUUCUCUGACUCCAAUGAACUUUCAUGUCCUAAAAAUCCUUUGGCUUUCAACAGCAUUUAUUAGUCAAAGUAUUUUUCUAAAGCUGUUAUCAAGGCUAGAUGCUACUAUCAGACCUGGAAUUUGCCCUACCUUAAGGCUGUCCUCUCCUUUUGCACCCAAGCAUCAUUACCACCAGUGGGAUGCAACACUAUGUUCCAGCACAGUCAUUGCUCCCUGUGUUCUCCAGGGACAUUUAGAGACCACUGUGACUGAGACCUUAUGGAAGAGCCUCAGUCGUGAUACAACCAAAAAAUCUGGAGUUUGUGGCAUUACAACACGUUGCCCAGGGAGGCAGUGGAGUCACUGUCCUUGGAGGUGUUCAAGAAACACGUGGAUGUGACACUGAGGGAAAGGGUCAGUGGGCAUGGUGGAGAUGAGCUGAUGGGUUGAUGGUUAAACUAGUUGAUUGUAGUGGUCUUUUCCAACCUUAAUGAUUCUACGAUUAUAUGUCUGAUUGCCUUUCAACUGGCACUGGUUUCUUUUAGGGUGUCUUUGAAAAAGUCUGCUAAAGUAUUUCAACUAAUGUUUUGAAGCUAGAAAUAAUUUUUAAUGCAGCCCACUUUUGAAAAAUGGAGCAACAUCCACCUUUUUGAACAUUACCAUGUGCCUUCAUGCCUAUAUUUAUGUGUGCAGAUCCUGAAGAUCUGCAGGCACAUUGAGUCAUCUAGCAUAUUUCCGGGCUGGAUAAGCAACUGUGUGCUCCAGGGGUGGGUUAUAUGUGUGCCAAGGAUACCUAAAUGAGUGUGUUGCCCAAUACAAGUGGCCGCUUACAUCCCGUCUUGCAUAUGGGACAGUGAGGCACAGUGGACAGAAGGUUUAUGACCCACAGGUCUGCGAAGGACUUUCCCCUGAGUGUGCUUGCAUUUGCUCCACCCUUUGCUGGCAAGCAUACUUUAUUGCUAGGGCUGUCCUGAUUUUGUAGCUUGUGUACAGAGAAUGAUCCCAGCAAAUCUCAGCCUGAACUGAAAAUUUCUGCCUUGCAAAAAGUAGGGUCUGGCUGAAGAAUAUUGAAGAAUUUCAGCUGUGGGAUUAUGAAGAAUUCUCCUUUUUCUGAAGAUCUAGAGGAUCAUUUUCCUUCAUUCUGUGCUGCACUGUAGUGACUCAUGUAUCCAGUAUUCUUUAUUCAUAUUUUUUCAUACAAAAAUGAUUGUGUAAUUAACUUUACAACAUCUGGGAGUAAAGAAGAAAGCCUAUAUCAAGACAAAAGAUCACAAAUGGGAAAUAAUAACGAACAUGAGAUCAUCUUUUUAUCGCUGCAGACAGUUAUUAAUGUUAGACUCAAAGAGAUCAUUUUCUCUAGAUUUCUUGCUAUACUGUUCCUGAUUUUCAAUGACAUUCUGGCAAUAUAUUAAGCAUUUUCAUGCACUUAAUUCUAAAAUAAGCUAUGUUUCUCCUCAAUCUCUGACUCUUUCCUAAUGUAAAAUAACAGACUUAUUCAGUUUACCUCGGUACAGAACAUCUCAGAUGUAACCCCUGGAUGUACUAACUGGCUUGACAUAAUUCUCUGGUGGUGCGUAACAAGGGCUGCUUCCCCCCCCCUCCCCACUCCUACUCUGUUGGAAAGGAGGAGGAUAGGAAGAGGCAUUCUGUAACAGGGUGGGGCACACCUGUGCUUGGCUAGCCCUCAGCUGACACAUGGUUUCUUAUAGUCUGAAACCAUCUGGUAUAAAUUAAAACUGUCUCUCCUUGGGUUCAAGGGGGGGGAAUCUAUGUCAAAAGGUUCAGAAUUUGUGUUAUUUUAAAUUAUACGAUCUGAUGGUUGACAAAGAUCAUCACAAAAAGAGGGAGGAAUGUAGCAUGUCCCAGAGAAGCAUAAAGUUUUGAUUUGCAUCAGUCUUGGAAGGCUACUUAACUCUUGAGUGGUGAAAUCAUGUUAAAGUUAUGAAGCUCAUCUCACCAAGAGUUUAUACCAUAUGAGGACAAGUUUUGCCCAUGCCACAAUCUCAGAAAUGGCAAUAAUUUAUUUUUCCAAGGAUAUGUUGAAACUUUCUCCUUGUAUAUCUGUACCUCUGCAGAUAAAGCCCUGCAAUACUCAUCAGUGUGGCUUUUUCAACAUAUUAAAAUCUACUUUGCCGUAGAAUCAAAUACAUUUGUCUGCCAUGAAGAGUCCAGAUCUCCACUGACUCAUGAGUUUGCUGAGUUUUAUAUUAUUCAGACCCUCAGUGAGCAGUCGAUGGCAUUUCUGGCUACCUCUAGAAGUUCCUGGACCUCUCUGGUGCUGCACACUCUGAUGCCAUCCUUGCUCCCCUUGGGAGGGGUAAGGCCACGAGGGGCCAUCAGAGAGCUGCACGGGGAAUGGGAGCACCUUGGUUUAGACUCCAUCACAGCCCUCCACUUGGGCACCAAAAUCUGUUGCUGUCUUUGCUCUGCGAUAUCUAUGUUUUUGUCUGUUGGCAGAUGUCUGUAAUAAAAGCCAUGGUUGCUCUUCUAUCCUCUUGGAGUAACCAAAGGAUGUUUUGUUUUUUCUUCCUGACUCCAUUCCUGUAGAGGCAGUCCUAAAAAUGAAAUAGACUCUGAGAUACUGCAAAAGGACUGAAAACAAGAAUUUUUUUUUGCUUAGCUGCAAUAUUGUUGGAAUAACUGAGAUUUGAGGGAGCAGCUUGCACUCCUGGAGUAGCUGUACUGACUCUUCAGGAGAAGACAAGAAGAGGGUAUAAGGAGCUCCUCAGUGAAGCAGAUGAUGGGCUGGAGGAGAGCUUGUGGGUCAGGGAAAAGGCCUGUGAAAGGUACAUCACAGUGGGUGUGUGUUAGAGGUAUCCCAUCACCGUAAGAAAGUGGAAGAAGCCUUUUUUGGAGCACAGGAGGAAGCUUCUGAAUCAUUAGCCUUGGUUCUUAUGAAGGAAUUUAACCUUCCUUGACAUCAGUUGGAAGAUCAGCAUGAUGAGAAGUGAGCAGUCCAUGAGGUUUCUAGAGACUGCCACAAAUAAAUUCAUGAAACAGAUAUUGGGUUGGCCAACCAGGAGUGAUCUGUUUGAGAGCUGCAUCUGAUCUUCACUGACAUGGAAGAACAGGAUGGGGAUGUGGAAAUGAGCAGCAGCCUUGCCUGUAGUGACCAUGAAAUAGGAAAGUGUGAGAUUUUGAACACAGUGAGGAAGGAGAGCAGCAGAGGGCAGAAGCAGAUAGGUGGGAUCCCAGGGAAGGCAGCUCUGAAGGACAAAGUUGCUCAGGAAAGCUGGCAGGCCUUUCAGGACCACAUGCCCCAAGCACAAGAAGAUAAAUAAGACACUCAAGGGAGUGCUUUCAUUCAGCACAUAGCUCAUGGAGGAGCACCAAUGGAGCAUUCAAGAAGACAUCAUACAGUGUGGAAGUGGACGUGAUACAAAGGAGGCAUUUAGAGGUAUUGCCCACGCGUGUAAGGAUGGUGUCAGAGAAGUGAAAUAUUCUAGACCUACCACUUCCAAGUGACAUCAAGGAUAAUAGUACAGGCUUCUGUGGCUCCAUUAGUAGUAAAACAUUGAACAAGGAAAAUGUGGGUCACUGAUGAAUGGAAGGGGUGGAUUAGUGACAGUGGACACAAACAAAGUUGAUCUAAGUGCUUUUUUUUGCCUCUUGCAGAAUGUCACCCUUGUGCUACUAUCUGUAUGCUAUAAAAACAAAUUGUUAUGUAGCAAUGUCAAAUUCAUAAAUUCUGUUACUGUAAAAAUGUUUGUGUUUACCAUUUUAAAAGACCUUGCCUAUUCACAACUGUGACAUCUGGAAGCAGGAGAAGAAGAGGAAAAAAUAUUACUAGUUUUAUUUUACUCUAGUUCUCACUCUCUUGACACAGUUAAUAAUAAGAGUGGACACAAGUUCAAGCUGCAUUUUGAUAUUGGCAGGAAAAAAAAGUACAAGCAUACGUGGUCUUCCCAGUGAUGGCUGUGAAACUCUCCUGCUUGUGGAGAUCUAUUAUGCACUGAAAUAUUUUAUUGAGGGCAGAACCCUUUACACAACAACACCUCAUUGUUUCUCUACCGAGAUCCAACUCUGCAACCAUAAGCAACUGCAAACCCACUGAAUUCCUUCCGCAGAAUUCUACAGGCUUUGGAGUAGACCCUAGAGCUUUAAGUAAUUAAAGUUGGCUUUCCUGAAAGGCUAGAUGCUCUCCUUCCCCUCUCUGAGCCUCCCACAUCUCCUAAGCAGAUGCUGGAGGAUCCUGGUUCAAGCACUCUGGGCUGGUCCUGAGGGUAGGCGUGCUCCCGGAUAAUGCAUGAUACUCCUGCUCUGGCUGCAGUGAGUCAUCUGCUCAGCAUCCACAUCUACACACAUCUCAUGGGCUUUGCGGAGUGACUGGAGAACAUUCGUGCUGGCUGCCCUGCUGUGUCCCCCAUGCACAGGAGCUUUGCUGAGGGAGAAUGGGAAUCCUUCAGGUUCAAGAAUUCGGGAGGAAGUCAAUCAGGGGGUUGAGGAUGAUUUUGCAAUAGAGCAGGGAAAGUGUUUGGCAGAUAGGAAAAGGCAAAAACAUUCUCAGUGCACGGGAGGGGAUUAGAUGCAAAAAUAAGCAGGAAAGUACAAAGAGUGAGAAGGCACCAGCCUUGCAAGCUGCUUACACUGAUGUCUCAGGGAUGUGUUUUGCUUUUAGAUCUUCCUAAUGUUUCCUGAUAUGUGAGGAGUGAAGUCACUUUCUUAGAAAAUUUCCUAGGACUACAGCCCAGAACAUGAAAGUCCUAUUAAAAUAUACAAGCUUGCUGCUCUAAGCCCAUAAUUUUAACAGGUUGGUUGGUUUAACAAGACCUAUUUUGGAGUGCAGACCUACGUUCUGAGAUAUGUUUUGGAUUAGUGUGAUGGAAAUGUGUUGGUUUUAUAGGUCAAUUUUCCACUGUAAAUUGCUUCUCGCUUUUAAUGGAUUUUUAUCCUCUAGCAGGUUUGGUCUUUUAACAGGAAUUCAUUGGACAGACACACAAGUGGAUCAGUCUCAAAAUAAAAGCUGAUUCAUGACAUUAACAGUAGUAGUGGACAUUAUACUAAGGACUGGAUCCUUUAUAUCAGUGAAGUGGUUAUUUAUGCUGUAUGGCUACCUUACCAUCAAUCAAGAGUCCAGCCUCUGUCUGGUAAAAACCUGUGGUAGUUCUGUAUUAUGGUUAUCAGGAGAAGCUCUCAGAGAAAGAGCUCAGCAUCAGGAGGUGGCAAGACUGCCUUUGUCUGUGGCCCUUUCUUGCUUAUAUAACAGUAAUAAGAUCUCCUACAUCCCCUGGAGGAUGUGCACCUAUCUCUGUGCCAAGAGUUCUCUGUCUCAUUGAUCACAGCAGCUCUGGGCUGCAGAAAGUGAGGUGAGCAAGCUUGAGGGAACUUCACUGUACAUCCUUAGACAUGGAUCAGCGCUGGCCAUACUAACAUUUUCUAGGCUGCAGGAGAAUGGGAAUCACAUCACUUACUCAGAUAGCCUGCACAUGAGAUGGGUGGUCUGAUUACACUACCCAGGAUCCUGCUGCAUGGUGGCAGGAGCAGGGAUCACAGCAAGUGUCUAAUCCUCCCCACUCACCUUAGGGUCCUAUCUUGCAGUAUGGGAUGGCUUGUUCUCUGGAGGGUCUCUGUAUUUUGCCAUUGGCUACAAAAGCAUAGCUUGAUCUGGACCUCCAAUCAUACGUAGCCUAAUUUUAGUCCUUCGCUCCUGGCCUCUCACUCCACUUUUCUGCCAAGGGUGGUAGCGUCUGUCAUACAAGGGGUGGGUUUUUGUGACUGUGAUGGAACUGCAACUGAGAGACAAUAUUGCACUGACAAGUGGUUCACAGACUAGUCCUUUUCCUCUUAAAAGUGUAGCAAUGUGUAUGAUUUGUUAUGGGUGCAUUUUAUGCAGAUACCUUUAAAUUAUGUCUUUAUCCCUUUAUGUUGUGCUUACUCCAUGACAUUAAUGUUUUCCUCCAAGUACAGAUACUCAAUGCAAAUGGAAUGUUUUCUUGGACUAGUGAAAUUGUUCCAAAAGCCCAGAUGCAGGGGAUCAAAACUAUUUACUAUGUUAAGACAAAGCAAGAAACCUCUCCAUCUCUACUAAAUAAAUAAAUAAAUAAAAGACAAAGUGCUAGUUUCUACCGCUUUGGAAACAAAACAUUUCAGUUUCGCUUUAGGAAAUGACAUCUUGAAUGUUGGCUAGUAUUUGUGAAGUAUGAAAGAAACUUAAGAAGAAGGAAAAAAAUAGUUGUUAUAGGUUAAAUAGGUAGUUCUACGUUGAUACAAAAUGAGCUUUCUCUUCUGGCUAGAAGAUAUUUUCCUCUUUCUUUCCUUUUGUUUUUCAGAUUUGGCCAUUGAACCAAAAAAAAAUCUGUCAUGCCCUGAGCCCAAGUUUAUAUCUUGUGAAUGUUAAUGGCCUCAGGAAGCUCAAUGUAAAUAAGUUACGUUUUCAAAAUUAAUGAGGUCUGCUAAUUGAGUUUAUCCAGGAACUGUAAGGUCAGAUGUGCAUCGAGACUGCAAGUCCAGCUGCAUGUGAGGCUUCCCAGACCAUGCAGAACCCCAAGUGGGUGUGCUCUGGGGGCAAGGCAAGGACAGACCACGGUGGGCUGCAUCGAAUGAGACCCUAUUUUCUGGAGGCAGUCCCUAAGUGCCUCCACUGUGAGCAAGUCCUUGUACCGGGUACUAAAAUGUCUUACAAAAUGGGUUUCUGGGUCUGAAGGUUGUGGGUCUGAUCCUGCUGCUUUUUGGCAGUUGUCUGAUUGCUCCUCACUUUGUUUCAUAGCUUUUGCACGGGGAAAAUACGUGCAGAAGACGCUGUGUCAAGCGGGACCUAUUCAGGCUGUAGGGAGGUGGGAAUUGGCUGAGUUUUGUCCAAACCAAACCUCACCACUCCCAGCCCUUCCUCCCCACACAGACACAAAUGCCUCCCUGCUAGAGGUAACGAGCCUGAAACUGUUUUCUUUUCUGACUUUGCUCUAGAUAAAAUUCAGCUCCUGGCUUCCCCUGCACUAGGUGGGAAUGUGCAUCAAUUUUAGUACUGGUAACAUAUGUUGUAGGCUUAUAUUAUUUUUAAUAAUCCUUUGUUCUGUCUCUGCUGGCAAAGCACAAUCGCCGGGGCUCCUUUGGCUUGAUAGCAGCCCUGCACAAACCAACAGGCACACAGGCACAGCCUUGUUUGUGAAAAGCAAAGCACUUAUUUUCCUUUCCUCAGAAAUGCAAUGUUUUUCUAUUGAUGCAGAACGGAUUUGCUUUUCUCUACUCUCUCUGUUCUCCAGUCAUGCACUGGAUAGCACGGCAGAAUUUAAAAAAAAGCAAAACUAAACAAUAACAGCACAUUAAAAUGGACCCCUGCAAUACAGUCAAAACAGAAAGCAGGGAGAAGGACUGGUGAUAGAACCACAACAUUCUCUGGCCACGUCCCAUCACUCCUCGUAGAGGGGUGUCUGUCCCAUGUGUGUCAUCAGGGUUAAGUCCCCCUUUUGCUGUGGCUUUCUGAGAAGCCCCUGUCUGGAUCAGCUUUGCCAAAGAGCUUGAACUGAUUCCAGAAGCUUUAGAAAUGCUUGGUGCUUUUUGAUUCAAUUUGCAGUGCCCCUUCUUCUUUUUUUUUCUUUCAUAAAAUAUAGACAGAACAAAAGUCACUUCACGUGUUUCCCCAAAAAUAAAAAGAAGCAAAGCUGUCUUAGAAUGAAAAUCCCCCAAAAGCAGCAACCAGAGAUGCAGUGGCCAUGUGGUCUGGAGCAGCGGUGGCUGCAGAUCCGGCUGCUCUGAGAUACCCACAACAUUCAGGCAUGCCUGAACCCGCUUCUAUUUCCUUCUUUCGUCAAAUUUUUGUAUUUGGUGAUUCUGCCAGCAGCAAGAGUUGCUUACACUGACCCUUUCCACUGCGGGUCUCUUCUUCUGUGCAUUUACCAGUAUUGACUCAUGGCACUGCAGAAAGCGUGGCAGUUCAGCAUGCUGAUGCAUCUCGGGCUCCUGCUCUUUAAUAACAAUUUUUCCUCUCAGAAAAAUUUUCCUCUUGGUGGAAAUUCUGGACUCCACUGAGUCAGUGGGAAUUUUGCCCUUUCCUUUCAUCCUGCCAAGAUUUCCUCUGUCAUCUUCAGAUUGCGCCGUGAAUGUUCUCCCCGUUUUAUUGUCUCUGGAACUCACUUCCUGCGCUCCUCGAGUGCCAGUGUUGACCUGUUCCAGCACCCUUCCCCUCAAAUGCUGUUUGUGGUCAAAAGUCCUUGUAGGAAAGCCCAGGAAAAUUUUCUCUGGAGAACCUUAAAAUAAGACGUGCAAUCUUCUGCAAUCUGGUAUACCACAAGGCAGGAGAGGAAAUUACGCUCAGAUCUUUUGUACCAUUCGAAUUGACAUAGAGAUUAAUCCUUCAGAUUUAGGUGGAAUCUGAGCCGGCUCUUCCACCUCUCUAAGUUUUGGAUGCAUAAUUAUGUCUCUGCGGGGAGACCAGGGAUAGAUUCUGUAUGACACAAUUAUUCUUCCCCUUGUCCAGCCAUCACAAACAAUGAGGCCAACUUUUUUGAUACUUCCUUGGAAGUAUGCACGCAAAUCCCAUUAACAAAUUAAAUGCUAUGAAGAAAAUCGUCUUGAAGCCUUGCUGUAGUUGUAGAGGAGCCAAGCUGGGUCAUAUUGCAAACUUGAAAAGAAAAUGACUAAGCUAGUGAUCUCUGUUUUGGAAAGAAACUUUUCCUUGGAGGUGCUUUGGAGGCAUGUGGGAGUGUUUAUUUGUCUGGUAUAUGUGAAUUAUUCAGUUACAUCUUACUGAACUGCAGAUCGUUAUUUUUUACUGAGGUGCUUCUCCAAAUCCAUUGUAGCCAAAUCAGCUCAGGUCAGUAUGGUUUUAAUACACUGUUGUUAAAAUUAUGCUGCGAUAGUUACCCUUUUUUUCUUCUUCUGUAGUGUGAUUGUUGGAUUCUGUAGGAUUAGGAGCUGUUCAGCCACCGCUUGCCUCUCCACUUGCCCACAAUGGCUGCAGUGCUAUAGCUUCCACCAGAAUCAGUUUCUUAUCCAGUCACCUGGGCUUUAUGAACUCAGCUGUUAUUGAGUCAGUGGACUGUAGGACAUCACUUCUGAAGCACACUCAGGUGUACUGACAGUCCACUUCUCAGCACCAACUUCAGGAUGUACCUUUAAUGCUCAGAAUCACCUGGGGACCACAGGUGGGCAGACACAGAUCUGCAGCACAGUGCUAUUAAGCAGCAUGUGGGAUCAUACUCAGGUUAACAACCUUCCUCCCUUCCUCCUGCCCCCCUCCCUCCUUCUGUCCCUGUAAGCUGCUAUAUGUUGUUGUUUAAAAAUCCUCUAUCUGGCUCUGGCUUCCUUCACUGUACAGAAUGGGGCUUCUGGAAAAUGCCGUUCAGAGGUGCUGGAUAUCUGUCCAACUCACAUUGGUUUUGCAUGGGUAUGAGGUCCAUGAGCAAAAUUUGUCAAGAAGGACGAAAUCCUAAUUCUGUUUGGAAUUGACAAAGGAAACAUAAUAACCACUGUUAUUAUCAGAAACACACACAUACCAACAGACUUCAACACAUUCAGAGUUAGAUCCUCGUAUACUGGGCUUGUUCACUUAUUCAUGCCCAAAAAGGAGCUCCUAGCUGUGCAUCUCGCAGCCUGUCGUGUGAUUUUUGGUGCAAUUCUGCUAUACUAACUCCAAACUCGUGAAGAAAAAAAUAAAUAAAUCCAAGUGUCAAAUUACUGCGUGUUGCAUACGUACAUGGUAACAGCUAAUGAAGUCCGUGCUUAUGCCAGGCAGGAAGGGGAAAUCUGCAGCCUUGUUAACACUUUUGAAACGAGAGGCAGAAAAACAUCUCAUCUGAAAUUGUGGAUCUACACAAGAUGGCUCCUGCCCCAUGCAGCCGUGCAAAGAAACAGGGCAAAGCGCUCUCCUAGAAAUAGCUUGGAUUGAAUAGUUUGGAGGUGCUGCAAACCUUGUCAUUUCCAGGGAACCCAUCAGAAAUUUUCCAUCUAAAUUUGAACUGAUCUGAAGUGGAAUGAAAAUGGUGCCAAGCUGUUAGCAAAUUCUUUGUGCCCACCCUCCGCUUUGCUAUGGUUCUCCUCGGGCCUGACUCACCUCCUUCUGGGAUCACUGAACAUCCCACUCCUGAAUGUGUUGGAAGCUUAUCUGAUCCUCUACCCUUAAAGCACAAUUUCUGAGAAAUUUAUGUACAACAUUGUGAAUUGAUAUAAAAGUAAACAUUUAUUAUACAGAGAAUAAAUACUGAAAAGCAAUUUUAUCUUAUGGAAAAAUCAUUCUGUCAGAGACACUAUGCACAAGAUCUAAUAAAGCUCUUAGGAACACAUGAGGGAAACGCGGGGUUCUUUCACACUGGGGUGGAUUUCACAUGUAAGACCUCAGCUACACUGAGAUCAUGCUGUGAAGCAACCUAUUGUAUACAUUUUGCAUUGAAAACAAAAGGUAGAACUUCAUUGAAAUAAUCAUAAAACUAUUUUUCCUAUACUAACUACAGCUGUGGGGCAUGUUUCUAUGGAAACAGUUUUCCUUAUGUGCUUCUCUAUAGCUAAAGGUCUCAAAUGGACCUUCUGUCUACUCAUUGCCUGUAUAAACUGCAGAUUCUGUACAAUAAUCUCUAACACAGAUCAGCUGAAUCUCCUGAUAUGUGUCAGAAAACAUUAUCAGGAGGCAAACACCAGUUAUUGCAGGUUCCCAUAAAUUUAUAGAUAAUCAGGUCCUUAGUGGCAAGUUGGCAUCUUCAGUGUAAGGACUGUAUUGAAGAGUUCUGAUUAGAGGUCAUUGUCCUACCCAAAGCUGUAACACACAGCCAGGAAUUCUGAGGCUUCACCUUUGCUGUACGAAGAUUUAUGUUGCUUUGAUUUGAAUAAUUUAUGCUGCAUAGUGCCUUUCAGAUACCAGAAGCUAUAAACAAUUUGUUCUUUGUUGACAUAAGUAAAACACUUGCAAAAUCGCUGAUUAAAUGAACUGUACACCUUUAAUACUUU
rnacentral:lncRNA from 1 species